AAAGGAGGGGCAAUACCGAAUAUUGUCCGGGACCGUGAAGGGUUUCGGGGAAAGGGAGGCCUCUGACACAAGCUUUCGCCUUAAGAUGAGCCCAUGGCCCAUCAGCUAGUUGGUAGGGUAAAGGCCUACCAAGGCUACGACGGGUCGCUGGUCUGAGAGGACGACCAGCCACACUGGCACUGAGAUACGGGCCAGACUCCUACGGGAGGCAGCAGUGAGGAAUAUUGCGCAAUGGGGGAAACCCUGACGCAGCAACGCCGCGUGUGGGAAGAAGGCCUUCGGGUCGUAAACCACUUUUACUCGGGACGAAAAAGGGAUAUCAAAUAAAUAUCCCCGAUGACGGUACCGUGAGAAUAAGCCACGGCUAACUCUGUGCCAGCAGCCGCGGUAAGACAGAGGUGGCAAGCGUUGUUCGGAAUUACUGGGCGUAAAGAGUCUGUAGGUGGUUUGUCAAGUCUUUGGUGAAAGGCCGUAGCUUAACUAUGGGAAUGCCAAAGAGACUGGCAGGCUGGAGGCUGGGAGAGGGAAGCGGAAUUUCUGGUGUAGCGGUGAAAUGCGUAGAUAUCAGAAGGAAGGCCGGUGGCGAAGGCGGCUUCCUGGAACAGUCCUGACACUGAGAGACGAAAGCGUGGGGAGCAAACAGGAUUAGAUACCCUGGUAGUCCACGCCCUAAACGAUGGGUACUAAGUGUGGAGGGGUUAAACCCUCCGUGCCGCAGCAAACGCAGUAAGUACCCCGCCUGGGGAGUACGGCCGCAAGGUUGAACUCAAAGGAAUUGACGG
rnacentral:rRNA from 1 species